UACAGAGGUCCCAAGCGUUGUUCGGAUUCAUUGGGCGUAAAGGGUGCGUAGGUGGCGCCGUAAGUCGGGUGUGAAAUUUCGGAGCUUAACUCCGAAACUGCAUUCGAUACUGCGGUGCUUGAGGACUGGAGAGGAGACUGGAAUUCACGGUGUAGCAGUGAAAUGCGUAGAUAUCGUGAGGAAGACCAGUGGCGAAGGCGGUUACCUGGACAAUUACUGACGCUCAGGCACGAAAGCGUGGGUAGCAAAAGGG
rnacentral:rRNA from 1 species